rnacentral:rRNA from 1 species
AACGCCUGCCCAGUGAACAAUUAAACGGCCGCGGUACCCUAACCGUGCAAAGGUAGCAUAAUCAUUUGUCUACUAAUUAUAGACCUGUAUGAAAGGCAAAAUGAGGGCCUAGCUGUCUCUUAUAAUAAAUCAAUUAAACUGAUCUCCUAGUAAAAAAGCUAAGAUUCCCACAUAAGACCAGAAGACCCUGUGAAGCUUAAACUAACCAUUAAACCCAAUAAUGUCUACUUUAGGUUGGGGCGACCUUGGAAAAAACAAGAACUUCCAAAAUAUUACGGCUAUAAACCAUACCCAAACUAGGCCGACAAGCCAAUAAAUGACCCAGCAAAGCUGAUAACUGAACCAAGUUACUCCAGGGAUAACAGCGCAAUCUUCUUCAAGAGCCCAUAUCAAAAAGAAGGUUUACGACCUCGAUGUUGGAUCAGGACAUCCUAAUGGUGCAGCCGCUAUUAAGGGUUCGUUUGUUCAACGAUUAACAGUCCUACGUGAUCUGA